rnacentral:rRNA from 1 species
UACGUAGGGGGCAAGCGUUAUCCGGAUUUACUGGGUGUAAAGGGAGCGUAGACGGCAUUGCAAGUCCGGAGUGAAAGCCCACGGCCCAACCGUGGGACUGCUCUGGAAACUGUAGAGCUGGAGUGCGGGAGGGGCAGGCGGAAUUCCUAGAGUAGCGGUGAAAUGCGUAGAUAUUAGGAGGAACACCGGCGGCGAAGGCGGCCUGCUGGACCGUAACUGACGUUGAGGCUCGAAAGCGUGGGGAGCAAACAGG